GCCGGCGUAGCUCAGCGGUAGUAGCAAGGUCUUCAUAAGGCCGAGGUCACAGGUUCGAAUCCUGUCGCCGGCA
rnacentral:tRNA from 1 species